rnacentral:tRNA from 1 species
CGAAGGCGUGGCCGGUCUCGGCGACGACGGCCAGCUCUCCGUCGACCGGGGCGACGACGUGGCCGUCGGCCGGUUCGAUGCCGACGCCCUCGCC